AGGAAUUGAGCUGCUGAGUCAUUCAGGUAGGCCAUUCUUGCUCCUUAGUAGUGCCUUUCUCUUGUUGUAUCAGGGUAUCAGGUACUUUUUUUCUGAAGACUCACCCCUUUAUUUAAAAAGGGGUAUUUCACUAAACCAGAGUUCACCAGUUCUACAGCUUAGUUAGCCAUCUUACCACAGGGGUCACUUGCCCCUACCUCCUGAGUGCUGAGAUUAAGGGUGGGUGACCUGCCCAGCUCUUUAUGUAGAUUCUAGGGAUCUGGUUCAAAAUGCCUCAUCAAUGAUUCCAAGGUUAAAACAUUUUAAAAG
rnacentral:lncRNA from 1 species